AUGGAUUGCUUGCGAGCUUGUCUACCGGAGAACCUAUCUCUUCCAGGUUCUCUUAGGAUAACAAGCAUGAGAAAUCCAGGGCAACAAUGGAAUAUAUCUUCUUGUGAUUAGUAGACAUUUCCUCUGCCUAAUCAGAACCUGCAAAGUCAAAGGAGUUGACGCGUGAGCUUCAUCACGGUGCUGAGAAAGAAUAUGUUUCAAAGACUUCAAACAGUCAACUCCUUCACAGGAUUGAGCCUGGAGUUCCUGGACUUUUCCCACAUCUUGUGCUUUGAAAGCUUUCGAUGCAUAGCAGCUGGAAACGAUGCCUUGGUCUGGAGCAAUGUCCUCAUUUUCAUUUGCAGAGUCAGAGCCAUAUUUUGAUUAUUCACUGGUAUCACUUUGUAUAUCACAGGUUGAUUACAGACGCUUCAUUUCCAGUGUUGCCUGGGGCUGGCAUUUGGUAAAUGGUUGAGUUCUGCACCUAGGGAACUGCAGAAACGUUUUAAUGUAGAAACGUUUAACAAAGUGGUAAGUAUUCAACAGAGAAUCAAG
rnacentral:lncRNA from 1 species